UAGGGAAUAUUGCUCAAUGGGCGAAAGCCUGAAGCAGCAACGCCGCGUGUGUGAUGAAGGCCUUCGGGCCGUAAAGCACUUUUCUGGGAGAUGAGAAAGGACAGUAUCCCAGGAAUAAGUCUCGGCUAACUACGUGCCAGCAGCCGCGGUAAAACGUAGGAGGCGAGCGUUAUCCGGAUUCACUGGGCUAAAGCGCGUGCAGGUGGCGCGGUAAGUUGGGCGUGAAAGCUCCCGGCUCAACUGGGAGAGGUCGUCCAAUACUACCGUGUUUGAGAGCAGAAGAGGAAGAUGGAAUUCCCGGUGUAGUGGUGAAAUGCGUAGAUAUCGGGAGGAACACCAGUGGCGAAGGCGAUCUUCUGGUCUGUUUCUGACACUCAGACGCGACAGCUAGGGUAGUAAACGGGAUUAGAGACCCCGGUAAUCCUAGCCGUAACGAUGUGAACUUGGCGUUGGUGGGUUAAACUCCGAUCAGUGCCGUAGCAACGCGAUAAGUUCACCG
rnacentral:rRNA from 1 species